rnacentral:rRNA from 1 species
AGUGAACGCUGGCGGUAGGCCUAACACAUGCAAGUCGAACGGCAGCACAGAGGAGCUUGCUCCUUGGGUGGCGAGUGGCGGACGGGUGAGGAAUACAUCGGAAUCUACUCUGUCGUGGGGGAUAACGUAGGGAAACUUACGCUAAUACCGCAUACGACCUACGGGUGAAAGCAGGGGACCUUCGGGCCUUGCGCGAUUGAAUGAGCCGAUGUCGGAUUAGCUAGUUGGCGGGGUAAAGGCCCACCAAGGCGACGAUCCGUAGCUGGUCUGAGAAGAUGAACAGCCACACUGGAACUGAGACACGGUCCAGACUCCUACGGGAGGCAGCAGUGGGGAAUAUUGGACAAUGGGAGCAAGCCUGAUCCAGCCAUACCGCGUGGGUGAAGAAGGCCUUCGGGUUGUAAAGCCCUUUUGUUGGGAAAGAAAUCCAGCUGGCUAAUACCCGGUUGGGAUGACGGUACCCAAAGAAUAAGCACCGGCUAACUUCGUGCCAGCCGCCGCGGUAA